AUUGAACGCUGGCGGCAUGCCUUACACAUGCAAGUCGAACGGCAGCACGGGUGCUUGCACCUGGUGGCGAGUGGCGAACGGGUGAGUAAUACAUCGGAACAUGUCCUGUAGUGGGGGAUAGCCCGGCGAAAGCCGGAUUAAUACCGCAUACGAUCUACGGAUGAAAGCGGGGGACCUUCGGGCCUCGCGCUAUAGGGUUGGCCGAUGGCUGAUUAGCUAGUUGGUGGGGUAAAGGCCUACCAAGGCGACGAUCAGUAGCUGGUCUGAGAGGACGACCAGCGACACAGGGACUGAGACACGGCCCAGACUCCUACGGGAGGCAGCAGUGGGGAAUUUUGGACAAUGGGCGAAAGCCUGAGCCAGCAAUGCCGCGUGUGUGAAGAAGGCCUUCGGGUUGUAAAGCACUUUUGUCCGGAAAGAAAUCCUUGGCCCUAAUACGGUCGGGGGAUGACGGUACCGGAAGAAUAAGCACCGGCUAACUACGUG
rnacentral:rRNA from 1 species